rnacentral:rRNA from 1 species
UAACACGUGGGUAACCUGCCCAUAAGACUGGGAUAACUCCGGGAAACCGGGGCUAAUACCGGAUAACAUUUUGAACCGCAUGGUUCGAAAUUGAAAGGCGGCUUCGGCUGUCACUUAUGGAUGGACCCGCGUCGCAUUAGCUAGUUGGUGAGGUAACGGCUCACCAAGGCAACGAUGCGUAGCCGACCUGAGAGGGUGAUCGGCCACACUGGGACUGAGACACGGCCCAGACUCCUACGGGAGGCAGCAGUAGGGAAUCUUCCGCAAUGGACGAAAGUCUGACGGAGCAACGCCGCGUGAGUGAUGAAGGCUUUCGGGUCGUAAAACUCUGUUGUUAGGGAAGAACAAGUGCUAGUUG